CUUUGAAAAGCCUGAGGUGAGGGUCGCAGAGGUGAAUCUUGAUGCAGAAUUUUCAGCAAAUAUUGAAGGAAUUGAUUAAAAUAAUAAGACACAGUUGGACUAACUCUGAAGUCAGCUGAAGCCUCAGUAUGAUGAGCCGUCCACAGAAAUACAUAGAAGGUGAAGCUCUUCACUCUCAACAUGCAAAAUCAAACAAUGCAUUAAAGCUCAGAGUGGCCGUGCUGGUUGUCUGUGUUCUCCUGGUAUCGGCUCUCGUGGUAACUUAUCUCUAUUUGCUGCUGUGCCUGGGAUCAUUGUUCUCUCUGCGUUACAUUUGACUCUUGAAUACUUUAGUAUACAGAGAAGUUCAUGGUUUAAGGUGCCCAGGUCUUAUGGCUGGAAAACAACUUCAAAUCACUAACCAUCCACUACUGGAAUAACAGUUGGUAUGAGGUCUUUGUGCUGAUAUGCUGUGUUGGUUUUUCACAAAGCUGGGCACUGUGUAUUAUGGUCAAAUACCUGCCUUAUCUAGA